UUGCUGAGGAUACGGUUAACGGAGCGAAAGCGACGUUCAACCGCAAAAGAAGCAGAGGGGGCUUAGUGGUGGGGUGACUGCGUACCUUUUGUAUAAUGGGUCAGCGACUUAUAUUCUGUAGCAAGGUUAACCGAAUAGGGGAGCCGGAGGGAAACCGAGUCUUAAUUGGGCGUUAAGUUGCAGGGUAUAGACCCGAAACCCGGUGAUCUAGCCAUGGGCAGGUUGAAGGUUGGGUAACACUAACUGGAGGACCGAACCGACUAAUGUUGAAAAAUUAGCGGAUGACCUGUGGCUGGGGGUGAAAGGCCAAUCAAACCGGGAGAUAGCUGGUUCUCCCCGAAAGCUAUUUAGGUAGCGCCUCGUGAAUUCAUCUCCGGGGGUAGAGCACUGUUUCGGCUAGGGGGCCAUCCCGGCUUACCAACCCGAUGCAAACUGCGAAUACCGGAGAAUGUUAUCACGGGAGACACACGGCGGGUGCUAACGUCCGUCGUGAAGAGGGAAACAACCCAGACCGCCAGCUAAGGUCCCAAAGUCAUGGUUAAGUGGGAAACGAUGUGGGAAGGCCCAGACAGCCAGGAUGUUGGCUUAGAAGCAGCCAUCAUUUAAAGAAAGCGUAAUAGCUCACUGGUCGAGUCGGCCUGCGCGGAAGAUGUAACGGGGCUAAACCAUGCACCGAAGCUGCGGCAGCGAACGUAUCACUUAAAGCGAUUCAGCGGGUUACGAUUGACGGAGCGAAGCGACGUCAAAGCGUAUACAAAGUCGAGUCGGUUUAAGGAUACGUUCGUUGGGUAGGGGAGCGUUCUGUAAGCCUGCGAAGGUGGCCUGUGAGGGUUGCUGGAGGUAUCAGAAGUGCGAAUGCUGACAUAAGUAACGAUAAAGCGGGUGAAAAGCCCGCUCGCCGGA
rnacentral:rRNA from 1 species